GAUGAACGCUAGCGGCAGGCCUAAUACAUGCAAGUCGAACGAUAGUGAGAAGCUUGCUUCUCACGAAAGUGGCGCACGGGUGCGUAACGCGUAUGCAACCUACCUUAAUCUGGGGGAUAGCCCGAAGAAAUUCGGAUUAACACCGCAUAAAAUCACAGUAUAGCAUUAUACAAUGAUCAAAUAUUUAUAGGAUUAAGAUGGGCAUGCGUGACAUUAGUUAGUUGGCGGGGUAACGGCCCACCAAGACCACGAUGUCUAGGGGAUCUGAGAGGAUGACCCCCCACACUGGUACUGAGACACGGACCAGACUCCUACGGGAGGCAGCAGUAAGGAAUAUUGGUCAAUGGAGGCAACUCUGAACCAGCCAUGCCGCGUGCAGGAAGACAGCCCUCUGGGUCGUAAACUGCUUUUAUUCGGGAAUAAACCUAUCUACGUGUAGAUAGCUGAAUGUACCGAAGGAAUAAGGAUCGGCUAACUCCGUGCCAGCAGCCGCGGUAA
rnacentral:rRNA from 1 species